rnacentral:tRNA from 1 species
GUGGUGGCUCAGCGGUAGAGCACUGGCCUGGCAUGUGAGAGGUCCUGGGUCGCAUCCUCAGCACCACA